AACACACCGCGUAACAUUAAUCGCAAACGAAAACGGUGAUCAGCUGCAGCAGAUAAAGUUGCAUUCUUUUAUACAAAAAUUUAAGACUUCAUUAAAAAUUUAGCAGGCUGCAGCUUAUAAUGUGGCUUCAGUUAAAAACGAAAAUUUCUUUGCUAGUCCUGCAACUGAUCGGCUUAAACGGCGUAUUGGUAGCCGGCGACAGUCAGCGAACACGCGAUCAAAUAUACACAAGCAUUAGCGGUGCCAGCUGUUUCAGACGCCUCAAUGGCACGCAUCAGACAGGUUGCUCUUCAAAACAAUUCGGCUCCGUUGGUGCGCUGCAUCUAAUACAAGUUGUAGAAGAUUUUGAAUUUUUACUGCGAAACCCACCUGCGCCUCCAUAUGCACCGAUGAUACCACCUCGCCUCUUCACACGCCAAAAUAUGCUGCGUUUGAAGAACGAAGGCAAAAAUAAUAUAUCUGUAGUGUUGCUCAUUAACGAUGUCGAUAAGAUGAUUCAAUUCUCACAUGAACUUACAUGCCCAAAUCAAUAUAGUGGCUUAUUAUUGCCUGACAGCAAGGAAACAGCGACAUGCGAUACGCAAAAUGCGGCGAAUUCGUGGAAUCCUUGGGGUACUGGACUGCUACAUGAAGACUUCCCCUUCCCCAUAUAUUACAUAGCAGACGAAGAGGAGGUCUAUAAGCUGAAGUCAUGUUUUGACAAAUUUAACAAUUUCGAUUACGAAGGACAUGCUACACGAAGUCUUUGCGCUGUAGAAGUAACUACAUUUAUGUCGGCUGCGGUUAAUUCAGAAGUUUGCAUGCGUCGUACGAAUUUCAUCAACAAUUUGGGGCCCACUAAAUUCUGCGAUCCCUUAGAGGGCAGCAAUGUUUAUGGCACACUUUACCCACGUAACCUCGUAGGAAGUACAGUGUCCGAAGAGAGUUCUCAAGUACGCAAAGUUGACCCAAGUGAAAAAUUUAUUUUAAUCAGUUGUAGAAUGGAUACUACGUCAAUGUUUGAAGGAUUAGGUCUGGGUGCCAUGGAUUCGUUAAUGGGUUAUGCGACAUUAAUGAGUUUAGCGGCAACUUUAAAACAAUACCUUCCAAAGAACUAUGCGGAUUUAACCACGAAAAGCAAUAUACUCUUUGUUAUAUUUAAUGGCGAAUCGUACGAUUAUAUCGGCUCACAACGAUUAGUCUAUGAUAUGGAAAACUUAGAGUUCCCCUUAAGCUCAACCCAAACAGCGCCGAUCUCUUUCGAAAAUGUUGAAUUAAUGAUCGAUAUUGGCUCAUUAGAUGAUAUUUCGACAAUAAAUGUGCAUGCAUUAAAUGCCACCGAUGAAGUGAAAGCAUUCGCAAUGCUUUUGAGUUCGCAUGGACAAAAUUUCAAUAUACAAUUUGAGUUAAAUGUGGGCAAAAAUUUGCCGCCUACUUCAGCACAAUCAUUCUUACGUAAAAUACAAACAUUCCCUGCAUUUAUAUUAAACGCGAAGCCGCAGAAUAGAUACUAUCACUCCAUCUAUGACAAUGCGGCAAACGUGAACUUCACCUACGGUAACUACACUGAACAAAACUACACUAAGCUCAUGUCAACAGAGGAGGCACUACGCUUUUUCACUGCCGAUUCAUUACAAAUGAAGAUACGCAAUGUGUCAACAAGUGUGGCAUUGACAUUGGCGCAAUUACUCUUAAUGCAAGAGCGUACAGAUAAGCAAUAUGCGAGUCCUUUGUUAGUGGAUGAGAUUUUGCAUUGUUUUCUACAAGCAUCUGAUUGUCGGCUUUUCAAAGACGCUUCGCCUGUGAAUAGCCUGCCUGGCCUGCCAUUUCCACCAAUGCGUUAUAUCAGUGUUGCUGGCAGCCCGGCCGAGUCUGCCGGUUGGACUUAUCGCCUACUCGGCUUAUUAUUGUCAUCGGAAGAACCAGAUAUUACCGAAGCAAAUUGUAAACCAUUACCGCUACAAUGGAUUACCGGUCAAAAAGGUGUAGGCGAAUGUCGACGGACUACGCAGAACUAUAGCCCCGCUUUGAGUCCCGCAUUUUUAAUCGAGAACUAUGAUUGGAAAUCUGGUGAAUACUCAACCUGGACUGAGUCGACUUGGACACAGUUCAGUGCACGCAUGUUCCUACGGCCGUCCAGAAUACAUGAAAUCAUCACACUCUCCAUUGGCAUUGUUGUGCUGAUAAUAUCGUUUUGUUUGGUUUACAUCAUUAGCAGUCGCUCGGAAGUGCUAUUCGAAGGCGCAACGACAAGUUCCGAUGCGUUAACGGCUCCAACUGCUUGUUAAUACAAUAAUAAUAAUAAUAAUACAAAACAAUGUGUUGUAAACAUAAAUGACAGGACCGUCUCUCUCUGAUUAAAAUUUAAUUGGAAAUGCCAAAAUAUACAACAUACACACUCAACAACAACAACAAAACAAUAAUUGUACUGUCUACUCAUCCAAUAUCUUCAUAAUCAUCAGCCACACUAAAACCAUUCUCCAACACCAACACACCGUCUGUUUCAACUAACCGUUAUAAAAUAGUUCACAAUCAGCAUACACUAGAGCACUCGUUAAUUGGUAACAAAAUAUAUGUACAAUUCGACACAAGCUGAUGCAAACAGAGACGCACACACUCCAGUUGCCGUACGUACUACACUUAAAGACUGCUGCCAAGUUGUUACAUUUUUACCAAAAUAAAAACCACGAUACCAUAAAAUAAAGUAGUUAAACUAAGUACUGCAGACACGAGUUUAAGGGUGUUCCUUGGAUUGAUUGCACUCGCCAUUUAAAAGCGUCUUACUAUAAAUUCUUGCUUUGCAUACAUUUUGAACUAAUUGUUUAGCGCAAACGUAAUAAGUACUAAAUUUUUAAUCAUCAAUAAUGUGGACUUUGUGUGUGUCAUAUGCCCAUACGACAUCUUCAUGCAAUUCGUUUUGUAAUCUCAUUUUUUAACUCAAUAACACAUUGGUACAUACUAAUAUAUGCUAUAAAAGACAAGUUGAUAUUCUAUUUCAUUACUAAUUAACUUUGUAUUACUCAAUAUGUUUCCAGAUAUUCGUAUAGUGCAUUAUAGUUAAGCAAUCGCAGUAUUGGCAAAAAAUUGUGUAUGAAUAUUAAAAAAAUUAAUCAAAUAAAUUUUAACGAUACUCUGGUUUACUUAUAAAUUGUAAAGUUUACUUAUAGCAAUUACUUUCGUAUUUUUCAAAUAAAUUAUAUAUUUCUAAAUUUACUAUUCUAUAGACAGUAAGUCAAAGUUAUAUACUAUUUUUUGUAUAUACAUAUAAGAGAAACAAAAAUAUCGUAAUUAUAAGUGCUUUAUGGAAAAAAAAAAUUAUUUUUAUUCAACGAAUGUUACGAAAGUGUCAUUCAUUUAUUUAUAAUAUAAAUGCGUGUGAAAACGUAAUUUCGUAGAAACAAACGCAGUUUGUCAAGUAAGUUUCGUGUGUGUUUUUGAAAUUCUUUUGAAAUGCAUUAAUGCAAAAAUGUAUGUUUCUUGUAUGAACAAUAAUAUUGUAUACAGACAUUUACUAGAAUACAUAAUA